rnacentral:rRNA from 1 species
UACGUAGGGGGCGAGCGUUGUCCGGAAUUACUGGGCGUAAAGAGCUCGUAGGCGGCCAGUUGCGUCUGCUGUGAAAUCCCGGGGCUCAACCCCGGGCGUGCAGUGGAUACGGGCUGGCUAGAGGCAGGCAGGGGAGAACGGAAUUCCCGGUGUAGCGGUGAAAUGCGCAGAUAUCGGGAGGAACACCGGUGGCGAAGGCGGUUCUCUGGGCCUGUACUGACGCUGAGGAGCGAAAGCGUGGGGAGCGAACAGG